UACGUAGGGUGCAGGCGUUAAUCGGAAUUACUGGGCGUAAAGCGUGCGCAGGCGGUCUGCUAAGAGAGAUGUGAAAUCCCCGGGCUUAACCUGGGAACUGCGUCCGAUACUGGGAGGCUUGAAUCCGGGAGAGGGAUGUGGAAUUCCAGGUGUAGCGGUGAAAUGCGUAGAUAUCUGGAGGAACACCGGUGGCGAAGGCGGCAUCCUGGACCGGUAUUGACGCUGAGGCGCGAAAGCCAGGGGAGCAAACGGG
rnacentral:rRNA from 1 species